rnacentral:lncRNA from 1 species
UAUUUCUCAGAAAUCUGAGGUUGCCAAGGUGACUGCAUAUGAAUUUACAGGCAUCAUAGUUGUAGUUUCCAGAGAAAAUCUUCAUGGUGCCUCUACUGUCCCCAAAUUACUACAUUCUCUAUGCUCUGAUUCUUUCUAAAAUGAAGCAGAAACUACAUAGUUUAUUUGAAUAUCAAAGAAAUGAUGUACAUUUCCAUAAUUCAAGCUUCCAUCAGAGUAUCACUUUCUGAGUCUGCCCAAUAAGACCUAAUGCUCUCAGAACAUUAAUGAUCCAGGCAACCUACCCAACUCCAUGUGUAACACAGAGUUAGGCUGUUAUUAUAAUUAGGAAUUAAAAGAAAGGAAUUCACAAAUGCUAUUUGGAUCUCUCAUUUAAAUGAACUCUCUAACUUUGAUCAGAACUGGAAAUCAAUUCGACCCUGUGCUGCAGUGCGCCACAGCCAAGAGGACACUCCAUGAGGUGCUGUGAGUCGAAGGCAAACUUGUAUGAAGGUGGCACAUCUGGACCAACGUGAUGCUUGGAAUACAAGCCUUACCAGCAAAAUCUACCUCAAGUGCAUGAGAAGAGAAGCCUUUCUUUGGCAGACUGCCAGGGUGCAGGUCUCGAGGAUACAGCUUUUUGUCAAGCACCCUUUGGUUCUCAGCAGCCUCGAUUUCACUACGCUGCUCAAGGCCCACAGGUGGUCACCAUGCAGGGUGAAUUAAAAGAUGGCGUGGAAGUCUGGCAGGCAUCUUGACAGAACUACUCUUGAAGAUGGGACCUACACAAGGGAAAAGGGAGUUCAGAAGUAGAAUGAGUAAAGGAGAAUUAUAUUAGUUGAGUGUCUGAAUCCACUGGUGUCUGAAGCAUAUUCUUUAUUAGACCCUCUGCUUGGGUAGGUGUUUUUUCACUUGUAACUACAGUUCUUACAAAAAUAUGUGUCUAUAUGAUAGGAAUAGUUCAUCCCUCUCUCAACUGUAUGUGACAAUGAUCCAAAAAAGGAUGGCAGGUUAGAGUGUACUAGAGCAUUCCACAUGGAGACACAAAAGUAGAAAGCCAUACAUUGUGGAGACCUUGCUCUCUAUGAGGCAUUAACUGUGUGAGAAUGUGUAUUGACAUGGGCUUUAUCACAUCUUUUUGUUAUUAUUUUAUAUUUGUUUACUCUUAGGCUUCAUUAAAAUGAGAAUUCCCUAUCUCUUUAUUCUUAAGGUUCAAUAUUGUAUCUGGGACAAAUUAGAUACAAAAUAAAUGUUACAACAAACAAUGAAUGAAUAUUCCUUAUUAAAAGUAUUGCCUAACAUGGUGCAAAAG